rnacentral:rRNA from 1 species
UACGUAGGUGGCAAGCGAUACUCGGAAUCACUAGGCGUAAAGCGCAGGUAGGCGGUUUGAUAAGUCUGUUGUGAAAGCUCCCGGCUUAACUGGGAGAGGUCAACGGAAACUGUCAGGCUAGAGUGUGGUAGAGGUAGCUGGAAUUCCCGGUGUAGCGGUGAAAUGCGUAGAUAUCGGGAGGAAUACCUAUGGCGAAAGCAGGCUACUGGACCAUCACUGACGCUGAUCUGCGAAAGCUAGGGGAGCAAAC